rnacentral:rRNA from 1 species
UAACGAAUCUUCCGCAAUGGGCGAAAGCCUGACGGAGCAAUGCCGCGUGUGGGAUGAAGCGCCUUCGGCGUGUAAACCACUGUCAGGGAAUGGAACCAAUGAUUAUUCCCAAAGGAAGUGGCGACUAACUCUGUGCCAGCAGUCGCGGUAAUACAGAGGCCACGAGCGUUAGUCGGAAUCACUGGGCUUAAAGGGUGCGUAGGUGGGUCCGCAAGCGUCCUGUGAAAUACCUCAGCUCAACUGAGGAACAGCAGGGCGAACUGCGGGUCUUGAGGCAGGUAGGGGCUGGAAGAACGGUCGGUGGAGCGGUGAAAUGCGUAGAGAUCGACCGGAAUGCCGAUGGGGAAGCCGUCCAGCUGGGCCUGUCCUGACACUGAGGCACGAAAGCGUGGGGAGCAAACAGGAUUAGAUACCCAGGUAGUCCCUGAGCGGGCUGGCAAGGCGCAU